GACGAACGCUGGCGGCGUGCUUAACACAUGCAAGUCGAACGCUGAACCCGCUUCGGUGGGGGAUGAGUGGCGAACGGGUGAGUAACACGUGGGCAACCUGCCCCCGGCUCUGGGGUAACUCCAAGAAAUUGGGGCUAAUACCGGAUGUGACCGCUGGCCGCAUGGUCUGGUGGUGGAAAGGGUUUCCGGCUGGGGAUGGGCCCGCGGCCUACCAGCUUGUUGGUGGGGUAGUGGCCUACCAAGGCGACGACGGGUAGCCGGCCUGAGAGGGUGACCGGCCACACUGGGACUGAGACACGGCCCAGACUCCUACGGGAGGCAGCAGUGGGGAAUAUUGCGCAAUGGGCGGAAGCCUGACGCAGCGACGCCGCGUGGGGGAUGACGGCCUUCGGGUUGUAAACCUCUUUCAGCAGGGACGAAGCGCAAGUGACGGUACCUGCAGAAGAAGCACCGGCCAACUACGUG
rnacentral:rRNA from 1 species